AUCCAGCUGACGAGCCCAAAAUAAAACGAAACGCGCGUCCUGAAU
rfam:Schistosoma rodhaini strain Burundi genome assembly, scaffold: SROB_scaffold0002376